UACUACCUUGUUGGGCUCUCAGCUGCAACUUUUCUUCUUCUUUUCACAGAGAGCGAAACCUUUAUGUAUCAAUGGCUCUUUUGGCAAAUUGAUCUUUCUUUCUUUCUUUCUUUUCUUCCUUCCCCCCCCCCCCCCCUCAUUUGAUCUCAUUUUUUGGGCCAUUAAAGAUUAGUUUUUUUGUUAAGAAUGAAGUGUUCAACUCGGCUUGACUCGGCCGUUUUUCAACUCACUCCAACUCGAACCAGGUGUGAUUUGAUUAUAUGUGUAAAUGGGAAGAUAGAGAAAGUAGCUUCUGGGUUGGUACAGCCAUUUCUUGACCACUUGAAAACUGCUCAAGAUCAAGUGGCCAAGGGGGGCUACUCAAUAAUUCUUGAGCCUGGAAGUGAUGCAACGUGGUUCACGAAAGGAACAGUUGAGAGAUUUGUUCGCUUCGUGAGUACACCAGAGGUGUUGGAACGGGUUUACUAUUUAGAAUCUGAGAUCUUGCAGAUCGAGAAGGGAAUUGCAAUUCAAAGCAACAAUGAUACGGGGUUGAGCUCAGUAGAAGAUCAUCAAGCAAAACCUGUAGAGCGCAUUGAAGGUAGCAAGCCUCUGACAGAUUCUAGUGAGGAAAAAGCCAUUGUCCUUUAUAAGCCUGGCUCAGAUCCACAUGAAGCAGAUGGGUCGACUGUGCAGGAAGGAAAUUCCAAGGUUCAGCUUAUGAAAGCUCUGGAGACACGAAAAACUUUGCUGCAGAAAGAGCAGGGCAUGGCCUUUGCACGUGCUGUGGCUGCUGGUUUUGACAUUGAUCACAUGGCACAUUUGAUAUCAUUUGCUGAAAGUUUUGGAGCCUUACGCUUGAUGGAUGCCUGUGUCAGAUUCAUGGAAUUAUGGAAAAGGAAGCAUGAAACUGGCCAGUGGGUUGAGAUUGAAGGAGCUGAAGCAAUGUCUAGCAGGUCUGACUUUUCUUCCAUGAAUGCGUCGGGCAUUGUUCUUUCCAAUACAAUAAACAAGCAGUGGCCUGAAACUCCUGAUAGUAAAAGGAAAGCUGGUGCUGACCCAAUUGCAGGUAUGAACUCAAAAUAUGAGCGGCCUCCAAUAGAUCAACAACCAUCACCAGGCCAGCAGGAGUAUUUUCAAGGCCAGUUUCCACAUCCUAUGUUUCCUCCUUGGCCCAUUCAUUCUCCACCUGGAGCAGUGCCUGUCUUUCCAGGGUAUCCCAUGCAAGGCAUUCCUUACUACCAGAAUUAUCCAGGAAAUAGCCCAGUUUUUCAGCCACCAUAUUCAUCAGGGGAGGAUCCUAGAAUCAAUGCUGGUCAAAGAAUGAGUCACAGAAGGCAUUCAAUGGAUAGCAAUACUGAACCUGAAGCUUGGGAAGUGGAUGCUUUGAGAACAAGAUCUCAGGAUGAGACAGAAGAGAAGGAAACUUCAGGAGGUCGAGAACCUGGGAGGAAGGGAAGUCGUUCAGGUAAAAGACAAUCAGGUACGGUUGUUAUUCGGAACAUCAACUACAUUACUUCAAAGAGACAGGAGGCAUCUGGCAGUGAAUCUCAAUCAGCUUCUGGUUCUGAAAAUGACGAGGAAGAUGAAGUUUUAUUGAACACCACUACGAAUUCCAAGCAUAGGAACUCUCUGAGAUCCUCAAAAAGGAAGGGAAGCCAUAAAAAAUCUGUGGAUAAACUGAACUCGUCAGAUGUGGCUAGAACAUCUUAUGGGAAGGAGGAUGAUGGUGAACACUGGAAAGCAUUUCAAAAUUAUUUGCUAAAAGAUGCUGAUGAAGCUGAACGUGCUGUUGAUCAAGGCAUGUUUGCAAUGGAAAAGAAUGUUCGAGCAAAAAGGCGACAAAAUACAAUGGGUGAUGAUCCCUUAGUUAUUGAUGGACGAGAUCCAGGUGAUAUUCAAGAAGGGGAUGUGACAGAUAUGCAGAAAAUUAGUGGAAACUGGACCCGCAUGACUAAUGCAUCAAAAGAUGAAUUGUUGAUAUCAAGAAAAAUGGGCCAGCCUAAUGAUGGUACAGGGUUUGUAAAUGGUCAAAUGGAUCUACAGUCUGUGGAUAUAGAUGGCGGGAGAGGUCGGUGUAGGAUGAAUGCAAAUGAUGAUUUUGUAAUUCAUGGACGAGAAAACAAGUCAGGUUAUAGAAGUUCAUCAUCAGAUCCACUAGCUAUUAAUGGUUUUGAGACUGCAAAAGGUGAUCUGGACAGGAGAUCAUCCAACAAUAUGGAUGACGAUUCAUAUGUAGUUUCACUACGGUCAACAUCACUAGAUCAAGUUGUAACUGAGGGAAGAAACAUUAUCGAUGUGGAUUCUGAGUUCCCAUCAACAGUUCAGAAGACAGAAAACUUAUCUAACAGGGUUGGAAGCCAAGUCAAAUAUGAACCAGAUGAUUUAAGUUUGAUGCCUGAACGUGGGACAGAAAAGGGAUCAAUCGGUUAUGAUCCUGCUUUAGAUUAUGAUAUGCAGGCCUCACUACAUAAGAAAAAUAAGGUGGUAACUGGGCAAGGCUCUAUGAAGUCAGACAAGUACCGGAAACCAAAACUCAUUCCAGAUACUUCAGAUAGGAAGAAGACGGUAGGACCAAUAAGGAAAGGAAAGCCUUCAAAGUUGAGUCCUUUGGAUGAAGCAAGAGCCCGUGCUGAGAAGCUAAGAGCAUUUAAAGCUGAUCUCCAGAAAAUGAAGAAAGAGAAGGAAGAAGAAGAGAUUAAACGACUGGAAGCUUUGAAGUUAGAGAGACAAAAGAGAAUUGCUGCUAGAGGCAGUUCCACAACUGCUCUGCCAGCAUUGCAGCAAACCAGAAAACAAUUGCCUACAAAACUUUCCCCAGGCUCUCACAGAGGAUCAAAAUUCAGUGAUUCAGAGCCUGGAUCCUUGUCACCUCUGCAAAGGUUCUCCAUCAAAAGUGUUUCUGCAGGAUCGGGUGAUUCUCGGAAAGUCUCUAGGUCCAGCAAAUUGAGCACUGGACCUAGCACAGCUGGAAAUAGAUUAACUCUGUCAUUAUCGUCAUUGUCUGAACCAAAGAACGAGAAAAGUGGUGUAACACCCGAUUCAAAGGCGUCGAUGGCCAGGAUUAGAAGAUUAUCAGAGCCAAAAGUAAGUAGCAGCAAUCAUGCUUCAAUUAAACCACGAAAAACUGGACCAGUACUGAAACCAAAAUUAUCCAGUGGGACUGAGAUCAAGAAAAUAUCUGCCAUCAUGAACCAUGAUAAAAGCAAGGCGGCAUCUCUUCCAGAACUGAAAACCAAAACCACUAAAGGGCAUGAUUUUGCCCCUGGCAAUUCAGCAGCAAAAGAAAUUCCACAGAAGAUGCACGAAAGCAAGGCCAUUGCAACUUCAGAGAGCAAUGAACUGAAACAGAAUGGAAACAAAAUUUCACAUCAUAGUGAUGAGGAUGACAAUCCAAUAAUUGAGAAGACUGUUGUUGUGCUCGAGCGUGAGAAGCCCUCCAUUCCCUAUGUACACACAUCAGAGCACAAAAUAGAAGUACAAGAUGGAUACUCUAAUAACUAUAAAUUAGGGGAGAAAACAGAUACUGUGGUGGAUUAUGCUGCUAUUCGAGCACCAGUUUCACCACUUACCAUGGAUGGGAUUGGUAGAAAACACACUGAGUACCAGUUACCAAAGCACCCUGGGCUUCAUGAGGCUGCAUCUGUACAUGCAAGUCAUGCAGAGAAGGAAUCACCAAAGCUUACAAGCACCAUUGUUGAGAAGCCCUACCAUGCCCCUUAUGCUCGGGUCUCAUCUUUGGAAGAUCCAUGUACUGGAAAUUCCGAAUACGGCAAAGCACCUCCAUCAAGCGUAACGGAUUCAGCAGGCACAGAGACCAUUAAAGCUCACGUGUCUGGUUUAAAAAGCUUGAAACUAGAAGAGAUCCCUGAAGCAUUGGAGAAGCCUCAUGCAAAGGAAUCAUCGAAAGGGUUUCGACGAUUGCUGAAGUUUGGAAGAAAGAGUCAUACUACAGGUGAACGUAAUGCAGAAAUAAAUCAUGUCAGUUUGAAUGGGUCCAAGACAGAUGAUAAUGCUGCCUCUUCCAGUGAAGUUCAUACAUUGAAGAAUCUUAUCUCUCAAGAUGAAACCCUCACUGCUGGCUCCAAUCAAAAGACUUCUCGUCACUUCUCAUUGCUAUCGCCCUUCCGAAGUAAGACAGGUGAAAAGAAGUUGACUACUUGAUAGCUGAUAUGUGGAUGUACCAAAGCAGAAAGCUGGUCUUGUUUUGCACCAUUUUUUUGUGCUUUGUUGAUUUUCAUGUCUUGUAAUUGAAAGAAAGGUUGUUGACUUGUUGCUCCCACUCCUAUUAAAGUACGACAGUGUUGAUAGAUUGUUAGAAGUUUUUGACAUGGCUUACUUGGAAUAAGAUAUCCUGGAAUCUUCACAAA